rnacentral:misc_RNA from 1 species
UGCCUGGUGUCUUGGGUGU